AUGAACGCUGGCGGCGUGCCUAAUACAUGCAAGUCGAGCGAACAGACGAGGAGCUUGCUCCUUUGACGUUAGCGGCGGACGGGUGAGUAACACGUGGAUAACCUACCUAUAAGACUGGGAUAACUUCGGGAAACCGGAGCUAAUACCGGAUAACAUGUUGAACCGCAUGGUUCAACAGUGAAAGACGGUCUUGCUGUCACUUAUAGAUGGAUCCGCGCCGCAUUAGCUAGUUGGUAAGGUAACGGCUUACCAAGGCAACGAUGCGUAGCCGACCUGAGAGGGUGAUCGGCCACACUGGAACUGAGACACGGUCCAGACUCCUACGGGAGGCCGCAGUAGGGAAUCUUCCGCAAUGGGCGAAAGCCUGACGGAGCAACGCCGCGUGAGUGAAGAAGGUCUUCGGAUCGUAAAACUCUGUUAUUAGGGAAGAACAAAUGUGUAAGUAACUAUGCACGUCUUGACGGUACCUAAUCAGAAAGCCACGGCUAACUACGUG
rnacentral:rRNA from 1 species